rnacentral:lncRNA from 1 species
AUAAACGUAAACAAAACAAGACAACUUGGACUUCACAUUUGCCAAAAUCGGGCCACUCUCUACCUGUUUGCAGUCCUAGAGUCCAAGAGUAGGAAGAAUAUAGAGGCAGUACCCUCAAGCUUCCAACUGAGGUUGACCAACGGGGAGGGAGCACAGACAAAAACCUGCAUGAUACGAAGAGAAUGAGAUCAGGAUAUUCCCGUGGCUUUCUCCCUGCAAGACCAAGUCAGGCUGUCUCUUGCCUUUGCAUGAUGUCACUUGUCCUCUUCAGGUGACCUGCUC